CUCCACGGGAGCGCGCAGGCAGCGGGGCUGCGCUGCGACGUGCCAGCCCCGCGGGAGCGCGCAGGGAGAUCCGGGAGGAAGACGAGGAAGUCCAGGACCUGAUGAAGGCCGACCAGAACCAGAAGAGUCUGGGUCGAAACGGGACAACCCAGAGGAACAGCCACUGACCUGACAGGAGCGAAACCUGACAGAAAGUCCACUCAGACACAAAGUCCUGUAGUAGUUGGUUUUUAUUAUUGAAAUGUUAGGUUUGGGUUUACAGGCAGGUGUGAACAGAGAUGGAAAGAGAAAUCCUGCAGGCUGAGCAGCUGCAACAUGGCCACCAACAUGAAGAACGACAGCAGAUCAAACGGCCCAUAUAACUUAAAAUACUGAUCACAGAGCUGGAGCUGCGCAGGCUGCAGGCACCACAGGCGAGUCGCUGAAACAGACGGCAGGAAGACAUUCUGGGGUCUGGUGGUCCAGGAUCGGUCUGCGAGAAUUUAAAACCUUUGCUGACGUACCAACAGCUGUCCUUUAAGGCGCGAACCGACUCGCCUGCCUGAUGAUGGGCUCAAAACCUCCUGAAAACCCACAAAGAAUCAACACAAACAGUAAAGGUGGAAGGCAACAGCUCUCAGCCCUGUAUACAAGCAA